rnacentral:misc_RNA from 1 species
GACGAACCGUCCAAACGUUAUUCGGUAUCACUGGGCUUAAAGAGUUCGUAGGCGGCCAUGUAGGUCAGGUGUGAAAUCCCACAGCUCAACUGUGGAACUGCGCUUGAAACCACAUGGCUCGAGGGAGAUAGAGGUGAGCGGAACAGAUGGUGGAGCGGUGAAAUGCGUUGAUAUCAUCUGGAACACCGGUGGCGAAAGCGGCUCACUGGAUCUUUUCUGACGCUGAGGAACGAAAGCUAGGGUAGCGAACGGG